CCUACGGGUGGCAGCAGUCGAGAAUCAUUCACAAUGGGGGAAACCCUGAUGGUGCGACGCCGCGUGGGGGAAUGAAGGUCUUCGGAUUGUAAACCCCUGUCAUGUGGGAGCAAAUUAAAAAGAUAGUACCACACGAGGAAGAGACGGCUAACUCUGUGCCAGCAGCCGCGGUAAUACAGAGGUCUCAAGCGUUGUUCGGAAUCACUGGGCGUAAAGCGUGCGUAGGCUGUUUCGUAAGUCGUGUGUGAAAGGCGCGGGCUCAACCCGCGGACGGCACAUGAUACUGCGAGACUAGAGUAAUGGAGGGGGAACCGGAAUUCUCGGUGUAGCAGUGAAAUGCGUAGAUAUCGAGAGGAACACUCGUGGCGAAGGCGGGUUCCUGGACAUUAACUGACGCGGAGGCACGAAGGCCAGGGGAGCGAAAGGGAUUAGAUACCCCGGUAGUC
rnacentral:rRNA from 1 species